rnacentral:rRNA from 1 species
UACGGAGGAUCCAAGCGUUAUCCGGAUUCAUUGGGUUUAAAGGGUGCGUAGGCGGAACGAUAAGUCAGUGGUGAAAGCCUGCAGCUUAACUGCAGAACUGCCAUUGAUACUGUCGAUCUUGAGUACAUUUGACGAGGGCGGAAUGUGUCAUGUAGCGGUGAAAUGCUUAGAUAAUGACACAGAACACCGAUUGCGAAGGCAGCUCACUAAACUGUAACUGACGCUGAGGCACGAAAGCGUGGGGAGCAAACAGG